rnacentral:rRNA from 1 species
ACAUACAGCCAUACUACCCUGAACAUAUUGGAUCUCAGAAGCUAAGCAGGGUGGAGCCUAGUUUGUACUUGGAUGGGAGACCACCUGGAAUUCUGGAUGCUGUAGGCU